rnacentral:lncRNA from 1 species
GGCUAGAGAGAAGGAAUAAAGAAAAUUGGACAAGCAGAGCCUCUUGUAAGAAAGAAAGAAGAUUUCUGAAUACCCGAGACUCCUCGGCGUGCACCCCUAUUUAUAUUGCACGUAAAGGUGCAAUUCAAAACAUCUCACGCCCUCUUACAAAUUAUCUCACACCUCUUGUCUAUUUCUCAUGCCCCAUAAGUUAAGAAAUGCCAUGUGUACAUCAAAAUUGGGUUGAUGAGACGCCUUAUUUCAGAAAGACUCUUCGAUCUUAACUUACGGUGUUCAGAUGAGAAGUCAUGAAGCUUCUCUUAUUGGCGCCAUCAACCCAUGCCUUUGG